AGCGAACGCUGGCGGCAGGCUUAACACAUGCAAGUCGAGCGAACCACUUCGGUGGUGAGCGGCGAACGGGUGAGUAACACGUAGGUGAUCUGCCCAUCAGACGGGGACAACGAUUGGAAACGAUCGCUAAUACCGGAUAGGACGAAAGUUUAAAGGUGCUUCUGGCACCGCUGAUGGAUGAGCCUGCGGCGCAUUAGCUAGUUGGUAGGGUAAAGGCCUACCAAGGCGACGAUGCGUAGCCGACCUGAGAGGGUGAACGGCCACACUGGGACUGAGACACGGCCCAGACUCCUACGGGAGGCAGCAGUAGGGAAUCUUCGGCAAUGGGCGAAAGCCUGACCGAGCAACGCCGCGUGAAUGAUGAAGGCCUUCGGGUUGUGAAAUUCUGUUAUAAGGGAAGAACGACUUUAGUAGGAAAUGGCUAGAGUGUGACGGUACCUUAUGAGAAAGCCACGGCUAACUACGUGCCAGCCGCCGCCGUAA
rnacentral:rRNA from 1 species